AACGGCCGCGGUAUCCUAACCGUGCAAAGGUAGCGCAAUCACUUGCCCUUUAAUUAGGGGCUAGUAUGAACGGUUACAUGAGGGUCUAACUGUCUCCUAUGACCAAUCAAUGAACUUGAUGAUUCAGUACAAACGCUGAAAUAAUUACACAAGACGAGAAGACCCUGUGGAACUUUAAGUUUUCUGAUAGCGGACCAAAAUUUCCAAACCCCUCCUUUCUAACAGAUACUUUCAGUUGGGGCAACUACGGAGCAAAAAAAUCCUCCACGAACAACAACUUACACCUGUCCCUCAGGCUUACAUGCCACCCACCCUCUGUCAGACCCAGCAAAGCUGACCUACGAACCAAGCUACCCCAGGGAUAACAGCGCUAUCCCCUUCAAGAGUCCUUAUCGCCAAGGGGGUUUACGACCUCGAUGUUGGAUCAGGACCCCCCGGCGGUGCAGCCGCUGCCAAAGGUUCGUUUGUUCAACGAAUAACGUCCU
rnacentral:rRNA from 1 species